rnacentral:tRNA from 1 species
GGCCGCCUGGCGAAAUGGCAUCGCGUCUGACUACGAUAGUGUCUUCUAUUGCCAAAUGAUAGUAUACCGUCUAUCAGGAGAUUGCAGGUUCGACCCCUGCGGUGGUCA